AAAACACUAGAGCUUUCUCGCGCAUGGCAGCCUCUUCUUCGUCGCGCAAUCACCGGAUCUCCCUCCUCUUCUUCGCGCAAGGCAACAGAUCUCCCUCCUCUUCGCUGGAGCCUGGGCCCGAGGAUCCUGCAAGCCGGCAGCUGGAGAAAGGCGAGCGACAUGGCGACCUCCACAAUGCGGCUGGUGAAGGACGAGAAAGGUGAGCACCUUAGCCUUGUCACAGAUAUUUUUCUUUUUCAUCGAUUAUUUUUCUUUUUCCAUCAAUCAUCGGUGGCUAGUGACCCGCUGCACCCUCUU
rnacentral:misc_RNA from 1 species